GGGCGAUUAACUCAGUUGGUUAGAGUGUCUGUCUUACACACAGGAUGUCGCAGGUUCGAGUCCUGCAUCGCCCACCA
rnacentral:tRNA from 2 species